rnacentral:misc_RNA from 1 species
AUCUUAUAAAAUUUUACUUUUUAAAAAAGUGAUGAUAAUAAUUGAAAAAGUGCGGGUUUUAAAUACAAACAUGCUACGAAAAAAAAAAAUUUUUUUUUUUUCGAGCAGUUAAGAUUGAUAAUGAUCCUUCCGCAGGUUCACCUACGGAAA